rnacentral:tRNA from 1 species
GGUAUAGUGCCUGAUAAAAGGAUAACAUUGAUAGUGUUAAUUAUAUAGAUUACUCUAUCUUUACCU